rnacentral:rRNA from 1 species
UACGUAGGCAGCAAGCGUUGUUCGGAGUUACUGGGCGUAAAGGGUGCGUAGGCGGCUUUUUAAGUCUGGUGUGAAAUCUCCCGGCUCAACUGGGAGGGCGCGCCGGAUACUGAGGGGCUAGAGUGUGGGAGAGGAAAGUGGAAUUCCUGGUGUGGCGGUGAAAUGCGUAGAUAUCAGGAGGAACACCGGUGGUGUAAACGGCUUUCUGGACCAUAACUGACGCUGAGGCACGAAAGCGUGGGUAGCAAACAGG